rnacentral:lncRNA from 1 species
CACCACGAGCAGCACCAGCAGAAGCAGCCCGCGCUGAUGUGCGCCCUCAAGGCCGCGACGGCGGCCACGGCCGCCGGGUCGAUGCUGCUGCUAUCCGGGCUGAUCCUGGCAGGCACCGUCAUCGCGCUCACCGUGGCCACUCCCGUGCUGGUCAUCUUCAGCCCGGUGCUGGUGCCGGCGGCCAUCGCGCUGGCGCUCAUGUCCGCCGGCUUCGUGACGUCCGGCGGGCUGGGCGUGGCGGCGCUCUCCGUGUUCUCGUGGAUGUACAAGUACCUCACCGGCAAGCACCCGCCGGGCGCCGACCAGCUGGACCACGCCAAGGCGCGGCUCGCGUCCAAGGCCCGCGACAUCAAGGACGCCGCGCAGACCCGCAUCGACCAGGCGCAGGGGGCUUGAAGAUGAGGUGCGUGCCCCGACGCGCGGCCGAUGCGUGGGUGAUGAACGAUAUAGCGUACGAUUGCUGAUCCGUGCGCGCGUUUGAUCGCCGCCGUGCCCGCCGAGCGAGCAAGUCGACGACGUUUACCACCUGUUGUGCUAUCCGACCGAGUGCGUGUUUAGACUUUUGUUGUGAACUAGUUGUUCUCGUCCUAGUACUCUAGCAGUAUGUUUCCGUGGUCGAAGUCGGGAGAGGGUCUGGAUGCUGGAUGUAUGGUGUGUGCUUGUGGAUGUCUCUGCGUUUAUGAUGAAUAAAUUGCCAAGUUAGGGCGAAGUGUGCAACUGUUCUUGUGGAUGUCUCUUAUCUCUUCUGAAAUGCAACUUGCAGAAGAGACUAGGCUCUUGUGUUUUUCCACAUACGACUCCAAAAUCAACCUAAUACCAACUUACCAAAUGACUAUGGUACUAGCAUUAGCUCUUGUGUUUUUCCACAUACGACUCCAAAAUCAACCUAAUACCAACUUACCAAAUGACUAUGGUACUAGCAUUAAUCCCCUGUGCAAGCAUACGGUUAAUUUGUUAACAAGAGAUCUGAUCUCCUGGAGAUGGACAAUAAUGUAAUGCAACGUAGUGUUUAUGAAACGUUUGAAGGGAACACACAAAGCAAUGCUUUUCCUUCUUUUUUUCCAUGAAGGAAAUGCUUGUCAAUGUUUCCUGGUAGUUGUAUCGCAUUCGGAGUGAUACUGUUUCAGGGGAUGACUGAAUAUUCUUUUGUUCUGUUCUGUUGUGAUUUACGAACGAGCGGUUUGUAGAUGGGGAGAUUGUUCAAAGAUCUAUCUCUAGAAAGGAAAAUAAAGGUGUUUCAGGCGACGACUGAAUACUCUGCUGCUCUGUUCUGAUGUGAUAUACACACGAGCGGUUUGUUGUGAUUUACGAACUCUGCUGCUCUGUUCUGUUACGUACACACGAGCGGUUUGUUGUGAUUUACAGACGAGCGCUUUGUGGAUGGGGAGAUUGUUCAAAGAGAUCUUUGUCAAGAAGAUUGCUCAAAGAUCUCCAGAAAAGAAAGACGAAGUUGGAGCCUGUGACACAAAUAGCAAGGAGCCUGUGGCACAGAGCAAAAGAUGGGCCAAAGUUUGAGAGCAAAUGCACCUUAAUUUUCUUCUCUUUCUAGUUCAAGGCUCUAUAAUAUUCCAACUCGUUUCUCCGUCGAGUUACUUAAAGUGCUCAUACUAAGUUCAUUUCUUUUCGAGUCGAUCUCGGGUCAAAGCCAAAAUGCGAGUUCUUUUCGGGUCAAGCCAAAAUGCGAGUUCUUUUCGAGUCGACCUCGGGUCAAUCCAAAAUACGAAUUCUUUUCGAGUCGUCCUCGGGUCAAUCCAAAAUACGAGUUGAUCUGGAGCUGCACAAGCCAAAAUACGAGUCAAUCUCGAGCGGUUUAUGAACCUCGAGCUUUUCUUACAGCCCUACUUGUUUCAAUGGUUCGGUGCGUGGGCUCUCCUUUUUAGUCAUGACUUGGGAUGCUAUGGUGAUCUUGCUGGCGUGGUGCUUGGAGGAGCUGUCAGCAUCGAUUUGGUUGUGUCCAUGGUCGAGUCGGCGUGGUUGCGCUGAUCUAGAUAUGCCUUGAUGACGGUGAUCCAGAUCCGGUCGGUGAGUAUUUUCCGGCAGAUCUUGAUAGGUUAUCCGCUUGACGAGUAGAUCGGAUGGUAACAGGUACAAAGUAAUACCCAGGUUCAGGCCUUCGGUAAAUGAGGUAAUACCCUAAUCAUGUUGCUCGUGUAUAAUGAUUGUACACGUGUUGCAAAAGGUCGAGGGAUUGAGCAAAGCUCUAAGGUUUUCGUCUAUAUUUGACUAGCCUAGCCCUGGCUUAUAUGGAUUUCGGGGACUAGGAUUACAAGAUCUAAGUCGGUAAGGAGUCCUCGAUACGUCGGUUUUCUUAUCUUGUAAUCCAAGCCUUCCAGGCCCAUAUGUCAUAGGGCCAUGGGUUGGAUUGAUUGUCCCGUGACAUAAUUGUUGGGGAACGUUGCAGAAAAUUAAAAUUUUUCCUACGGUUUCACCAAGAUCCAUCUAUGAGUUCAUCUAAGCAACGAGUCAUGGGAGAGAGAUUGCAUCUACAUACCACUUGUAGAUCGCGUGCGGAAGUGUUCAAGGGAACGGGGAUGAUGGGGUCGUACUCGCCGUGAUCCAAAUCACCGAUGACCAAGUGUUGAACGGACAGCACCUCCGCGUUCAACACACGUACGGAACGGACGACGUCUCAUCCUUCUUGAUCCAGCAAGGGGGAAGGAAAGGUUGAGGAAGAAGGCUCCAGCAGCAGCACGAUGGCGUGGUGUUGGUGGAGAGGCAGUACUCCGACAGGGCUUCGCCAAGCGCUAACGGAGGAGGAGAGGUGUUGGGGAGGGGAGGGGCUGUGCCUUGGAUCAGGUUUUCAGCCCUCCCCUCGCCCCUCUAUUUAUAGGGGAAGGGGGCCGGCCCCCUCUAGAUGAGAUCUAGAGGGGGGGGGGGGCGGCGGCCAGGGAGGGGGCUUGCCCCCCAAGCAAAGGGGGUGCGCCCCCUUUAGGGUCCCCCCCCCCAACCCUAGGCGCAUGGGCCCAAGGGGCGGGCGCCCAGCCCUCCAGGGGCUGGUUCCCUGCCCCAUGCGGCCCAUGGGGCCCUCCGAGAGGGGUGGCCCCUCCCGGUGGACCCCCGGAACCCUUCCGGUGGCCCCGAUACAAUAUCGAUAUGCCCCCGAAACUUUCCGGUGUCCGCAUGACAACUUCCCAUAUAUAAAUCUUUACCUCCGGACCCUUCCGGAACUCCUCAUGACGUCCGGGAUCUCAUCCGGGACUCCAAACAACAUUUGGUAAUCACAUAUAAGUCUUCCUUAUAACCCUAGCAUCACUGAACCUUAAGUGUGUAGACCCUAUGAGUUCGGGAGGCAUGCAGACAUGAUCGAGACGGCUCUCCGGUCAAUAACCAACAGCGGGAUCUGGAUACCUAUGUUGGCUCCCACAUGCUCCUCGAUGAUGUCAUCGGAUAAACCACGAUGUCGAGGAUUCAAUCAACCCCGUAUACUAUUCCCUUUGUCAAUCGGUACGUUACUUGCCCGAGAUUCGAUCGUCGGUAUCCCAAUACCUCGUUCAGUCUCGUUACCGGCAAGUCACUUUACUCGUACCGUAAUGCAUGAUCCCGUGACCAGACACUUGGUCACUUUGAGCUCAUUAUGAUGAUGCACUACCGAGUGGGCCCAGUGAUACCUCUCCGUCAUACGGAGUGACAAAUCGCAGUCUCGAUCCGUGUCAACCCAACAGACACUUUCGGAGAUACCUGUAGUGCACCUUUAUAGUCACCCAGUUAUGUUGUGACGUUUGGUACACCCAAAGCACUCCUACGGUAUCCGGGAGUUACACGAUCUCAUGGUCUAAGGAAAAGAUACUUGACAUUGAAAAAGCUCUAGCACAACGAACUACACGAUCUUGUGCUAUGCUUAGGAUUGGGUCUUGUCCAUCACAUCAUUCUCCUAAUGACGUGAUCUUGUUGUCAAUGACAUCUAAUGUCCAUAGUCAGGAAACCAUGACUAUCUGUUGACCAACGAGCUAGUCAACUAGAGGCUUACUAGGGACGUAUUGUGGUCUAUGUAUUCACACGUGUAUUACAAUUUCCAAAUAAUACAAUUAUAGCAUAAAUAAAAGACAAUUAUCAUGAACAAGGAAAUAUAAUAAUAAUCCUUUUCUUAUUGCCUCUAGGGCAUAUUUCCAACAGUCUCCCACUUGUACUAGAGUCAAUAAUCUAGUUACAUUAUUGUGAAUCGAACACCCAUAGAGUUCUGGUGCUGAUCAUGUUUUGCUCGCGGAAGAGGUUUAGUCAACGGAUUUGCGACAUUCAGAUCCAUAUUUACUUUGCAAAUAUCUAUGUCUCCAUCUUGAACAUUUUCACGGAUGGAGUUGAAGCGACGCUUGAUGUGCCUGGUCUUCUUGUGAAACCUAGGCUCCUUGGCAAGGGCAAUAGCUCCAGUGUUGUCACAGAAGAGUUUGAUCGGCCCCGACGCAUUGGGUAUGACUCCUAGGUCGGUGAUGAACUACUUCACCCAAAUUGCUUCAUGCGCUGCCUCCGAGGCUGCCAUGUACUCCGCUUCACAUGUAGAUCCCGCCACGACGCUCUGCUUGCAGCUGCACCAGCUUACUGCUCCACCAUUCGACAUAUACACGUAUCCGGUUUGUGACUUAGAGUCAUCCAGAUCUGUGUCGAAGCUAGCGUCGACGUAACCCUUUACGACGAGCUCUUCGUCACCUCCAUAAACGAGAAACAUGUCCUUUGUCCUUUUCAGGUACUUCAGGAUAUUCUUGACCGCUGUCCAGUGUUCCUUGCCGGGAUUACUUUGGUACCUUCCUACCAAACUUACGGCAAGGUUUACAUCAGGUCUGGUACACAGCAUGGCAUACAUAAUAGAUCCUAUGGCUGAGGCAUAGGGGAUGACGCUCAUCUCUUCUUUAUCUUUUGUCGUGGUCGGGCAUUGAGCCGAGCUCAAUCUCACACCUUGCAAUACAGGCAAGAACCCUUUCUUGGACUGAUCCAUUUUGAACUUCUUCAAAAUCUUAUCAAGGUAUGUGCUUUGUGAAAGACCUAUGAGGCGUCUCGAUCUAUCCCUAUAAAUCUUGAUGCCUAAUAUAUAUGCAGCUUCUCCAAGGUCCUUCAUUGAAAAACACUUAUUCAAGUAGGCCUUAAUGCUGUCCAAGAAUUCUAUAUCAUUUCCCAUCAAAAGUAUGUCAUCUACAUAUAAUAUGAGAAAUGCUACAGAGCUCCCACUCACUUUCUUGUAAAAGCAGGCUUCUCCAUAAGUCUGCAUAAACCCAAAUGCUUUGAUCAUCUCAUCAAAGUGAAUGUUCCAACUCCGAGAUGCUUGCACCAGCCCAUAAAUGGAUCGCUUGAGCUUGCACACUUUGUUAGCAUUCUUAGGAUUGACAAAACCUAAGAUAGCCGUUAAGGAAUGCCGUUUUGACGUCCAUCUGCCAUAUCUCAUAAUCAUAGUAUGCGGCAAUUGCUAACAUGAUUCGGACGUACUUAAGCUUCGCUCCGGGAGAGAAAGUCUCAUCGUAGUCAAUCCCUUGAACUUGCCGAUAACCCUUAGCGACAAGUCGAGCUUUAUAGAUGGUGACAUUACCAUCCGCGUCCGUCUUCUUAUUAAAGAUCCAUUUGUUUUCUAUCGCUCGCCGAUCAUCGGGCAAGUCAGUCAAAGUCCACACUUUGUUUUCAUACAUGGAUUCUAUCUCGGAUUGCUUGGCUUCUAGCCAUUUGUUGGAAUCUGGGCCCGCCAUCGCUUCUUCAUAGUUCGAAGGUUCACCGUUGUCUAACAACAUGAUUUUCAGGACAGGGUUGCCAUACCACUCUGGUGUGGAACGUGUCCUUGUGGACCUACGAAGUUCAGUAGCAACUUGAUCAGAAGUACCUUGAUCAUCAUCAUUAAUUUCCUCUCCAGUCGGUGUAGGCACCACAGGAACAUUUUCCUGAGCUGCACUACUUUCCGGUUCAAGAGGUAGUACUUCAUCGAGUUCUACUUUCCUCCCACUUACUCCUUUUGAGAGAAACUCUUUUUCCAGAAAGGAUCCGUUCUUGGAAACAAAGAUCUUGCCUUCGGAUCUAAGGUAGAAGGUAUACCCAAUGGUUUCUUUGGGGUAUCCUAUGAAGACACAUUUUUCCGACUUGGGUUCGAGCCUUUCAAGUUGAAGUUUCUUGACAUAAGCAUCGCAUCCCCAAACUUUCAGAAACGACAGCUUAGGUUUCUUCCCAAACCAUAAUUCAUACGGUGUCGUCUCAACGGAUUUAGACGGUGCCCUAUUUAAAGUGAAUGUAGUUGUCUCUAGAGCGUAUCCCCAAAAUGAUAGCGGUAAAUCGGUAAGAGACAUCAUAGAUUGCACCAUAUCCAAUAGAGUGCGAUUACGAUGUUCGGACACACCGUUACGCUGAGGUGUUCCAGGCGGCGUGAGUUGUGAAACGAUUCCACAUUUUCUUAAGUGUGUACCAAAUUCGUGACUUAAAUAUUCUCCUCCACGAUCCGAUCGUAAGAAUUUUAUCUUUCGGUCAUGUUGAUUCUCUACUUCAUUCUGAAAUUCCUUGAACUUUUCAAAGGUCUCAGACUUGUGUUUCAUCAAGUAGACAUACCCAUAUCUACUCAAGUCAUCAGUGAGAGUGAGAACAUAAUGAUAUCCUCCGCGAGCCUCAACGCUCAUUGGACCGCACACAUCGGUUUGUAUGAUUUCCAAUAAGCUGGUUGCUCGCUCCAUUGUUCCGGAGAACGGAGUCUUAGUCAUUUUACCCAUGAGGCAUGGUUCGCACGUGUCAAAUGAUUCAUAAUCGAGAGACUCUAAAAGUCCAUCAGUAUGGAGCUUCUUCAUGCGCUUGACACCUAUGUGACCAAGGCGGCAGUGCCACAAGUAUGUGGGACUAUCAUUAUCAACUUUACAUCUUUUGGUAUUCACACUAUGAAUAUGUGUAACAUUACGUUCGAGAUUCAUUAAGAAUAAACCAUUGACCAUCGGGGCAUGACCAUAAAACAUAUCUCUCAUAUAAAUAGAACAACCAUUAUUCUCGGAUUUAAAUGAGUAGCCAUCUCGUAUCAAACGAGAUCCAGAUACAAUGUUCAUGCUCAAACUUGGCACUAAAUAACAAUUAUUGAGGUUUAAAACUAACCCCGUAGGUAAAUGUAGAGGUAGCGUGCCGACGGCGAUCACAUCGACCUUGGAACCAUUCCCGACGUGCAUCGUCACCUCGUCCUUCGCCAGUCUCCGCUUAUUCCGCAGCUCCUGCUGUGAGUUACAAAUGUGAGCAACGGCACCGGUAUCAAAUACCCAGGAGUUACUAUGAGUACUGGUAAGGUACACAUCAAUUACAUGUAUAUCAAAUAUACCUUUAGUGUUGCCGGCCUUCUUGUCCGCUAAGUAUUUGGGGCAGUUCCGCUUCCAGUGACCCUUCCCCUUGCAAUAAAAGCACUCAGUCUCUGGCUUGGGUCCAUUCUUUGACUUCUUCCCGGCAACUGGCUUACCGGGCGCGGCAACAUCUUUGCCGUCCUUCUUGAAGUUCUUCUUACCCUUGCCCUUCUUGAACUUAGUGGUCUUAUUGACCAUCAACACUUGAUGUUCUUUCUUGAUUUCAACCUCUGCUGACUUCAGCAUCGAGAAUACUUCAGGAAUGGUCUUCACCAUCCCCUGCAUAUUGUAGUUCAGCACAAAGCUCUUGUAGCUUGGUGGGAGCGACUGAAGGAUUCUGUCAAUGACCGCCUCGUCCAGGAGAUUGAUCUCCAACUGGGACAGGCAGUUGUGCAACCCAGACAUUUUGGGUAUGUGCUCACUGACAGAACUGUUUUCCUCCAUCUUACAACUAUAGAACUUGUCGGAGACUUCAUAUCUCUCGACCCGGGCAUGAGCUUGGAAAACCAUUUUCAGCUCCUCAAACAUCUCAUAUGCUCCGUGCUUCUCAAAAUGCUUUUGGAGCCCCGGUUCUAAGCUGUAAAGCAUGCUGCACUGAACGAGGGAGUAAUCAUCAGCACGUGAUUGCCAAGCAUUCAUAAUGUCUUGGUUCUCUGGGAUGGGUGCUUCACCUAGCGGUGCAUCUAGGACAUAAUCUUUCUUGGCUGCUAUGAGGAUGAUCCUCAGGUUCCGGACCCAGUCCGAAUAGUUGCUGCCAUCAUCUUUCAGCUUGGUUUUCUCUAGGAACGCGUUGAAGUUCAUGUUGACAUGAGCGUUGGCCAUUUGAUCUACAAGACAUAUUUUGCAAAAGUUUUAGACUAAGUUCAUGAUAAUUAAGUUCAUCUAAUCAAAUUAUUUAAUGAACUCCCACUCAGAUUAGACAUCCCUCUAGUCAUCUAAGUGUUACACGAUCCGAGUCGACUAGGCCGUGUCCGAUCAUCACGUGAGACGGACUAGUCAUCAUCGGUGAACAUCUCCAUGUUGAUCGUAUCUUCCAUACGACUCAUGUUCGACCUUUCGGUCUCUGUGUUCCGAGGCCAUGUAUGUACAUUCUAGGCUCGUCAAGUUAACCCUAAGUGUUUUGCACGUGUAAAUCUGUCUUACACCCGUUGUAUGUGAACGUAAGGAUCUAUCACACCCGAUCAUCACGUGGUGCUUCGAAACGACGAACUUUAGCAACGGUGCAUAGUUAGGGGGAACACUUUCUUGAAAUUAUUAUAAGGGAUCAUCUUAUUUACUACCGCCGUUCUAAGUAAACAAGAUGCAGAAAACAUAAUAAACAUCACAUGCAAUUAUAUAGUAGUGACAUGAUAUGGCCAAUAUCAUAUAGCUCCUUCGAUCUCCAUCUUCGGGGCUCCAUGAUCAUCUUCGUCACCGGCAUUGACACCAUGAUCUCCAUCAUCAUGAUCUCCAUCAUUGUGUCUUCAUGAAGUUGUCACGCCAACGACUACUUCUACUUCUAUGGCUAACGCGUUUAGCAAUAAAGUAAAGUAAUUUACAUGGCGUUCUUCAAUGACACGCAUGUCAUACACAAAUAAAGACAACUCCUAUGGCUCCUACCGGUUGUCAUACUCAUCGACAUGCAAGUCGUGAUUCCUAUUACAAGAACAUGAUCUCAUACAUCACAAUAUAUCAUUCAUCAUUCAUCACAACUUCUGGCCAUAUCACAUCACAUGACAAUUGCUGCAAAAACAAGUUAGACGUCCUCUAAUUGUUGUUGCAUCUUUUACGUGGCUGCAAUUGGGUUCUAGCAAGAACGUUUUCUUACCUACGAAUAACCACAACGUGAUUUUGUCAACUUCUAUUUACCCUUCAUAAGGACCCUUUUCGUCGAAUCCUCUCCAACUAAAGUGGGAGAGACAGACACCCGCUAGCCACCUUAUGCAACUAGUGCAUGUCAGUCGGUGGAACCUGUCUCACGUAAGCGUACGUGUAAGGUCGGUCCGGGCUGCUUCAUCCCACAAUACCACUGAAGCAAGAAAAGACUAGUAGCGGCAAGCAAGUUGACAAGAUCUACGCCCACAACAAAAUUGUGUUCUACUCGUGCAAUAGAGAACUACGCAUAGACCUAGCUCAUGAUGCCACUGUUGGGGAACGUUGCAGAAAAUUAAAAAUUUUCCUAUGGUUUCACCAAGAUCCAUCUAUGAGUUCAUCUAAGCAACGAGUCAUGGGAGAGUGAUUGCAUCUACAUACCACUUGUAGAUCGCGUGCGGAAGUGUUCAAGGGAACGGGGAUGAUGGAGUCGUACUCGCCGUGAUCCAAAUCACCGAUGACCAAGUGUUGAACGGACAGCACCUCCGCGUUCAACACACGUAUGGAACGGACGAAAUCUCCUCCUUCUUGAUCCAGCAAGGGGGAAGGAGAGGUUGAGGAAGAAGGCUCCAGCAGCAGCACGACGGCGUGGUGUUGGUGGGGAGGCAGUACUCCGACAGGGCUUGGCCAAGCGCUAACGGAGGAGGAGAGGUGUUGGGGAGGGGAGGGGCUGCGCCUUGGAUCAGGUUUUCAGCCCUCCCCUCGCCCCUCUAUUUAUAGUGGAAGGGGGAAGGGGGCCGGCCCCCUCUAGAUGAGAUCUAGGGGGGGCGGCGGCCAAGGAGGGGGCUUGCCCCCCAAGCAAAGGGGGUGCGCCCCCUUUAGGGUCCCCCCCAACCCUAGGCGCAUGGGCCCAAGGGGGGGCUCCCAGCCCUCCAGGGGCUGGUUCCCUGCCCCAUGCGGCCCAUGGGGCCCUCCGAGAGGGGUGGCCCCUCCCGGUGGACCCCCGGAACCCUUCCGGUGGCCCCGGUACAAUAUCGAUAUGCCCCCGAAACUUUCCGGUGUCCGCAUGACAACUUCCCAUAUAUAAAUCUUUACCUCCAGACCCUUUCAGAACUCCUCGUGACGUCCGAGAUCUCAUCCGGGACUUCGAACAACAUUCGGUAAUCACAUACAAGUCUUCCUUAUAACCCUAGCGUCACCGAACCUUAAGUGUGUAGACCCUACGGGUUCGGGAGGAAUGCAGACAUGACCGAGACGGCUCUCCGGUCAAUAACCAACAGCGGGAUCUGGAUACCCAUGUUGGCUCCAACAUGCUCCUCGAUGAUGUCAUCGAAUGAACCACGAUGUCGAGGAUUCAAUCAACCCCGUAUACUAUUCCCUUUGUUAAUCGGUACGUUACUUGCCCGAGACUCGAUCGUCGGUAUCCCAAUACCUCGUUCAGUCUCGUUACCGGCAAGUCACUUUACUCGUACCGUAAUGCAUGAUCCCGUGACCAGACACUUGGUCACUUUGAGCUCAUUAUGAUGAUGCACUACCGAGUGGGCCCAGUGAUACCUCUCCGUCAUACGGAGUGACAAAUCCCAGUCUCGAUCUGUGUCAACCCAACAGACACUUUCGGAGAUACCUGUAGUGCACCUUUAUAGUUACCCAGUUAUGUUGUGACGUUUGGUACACCCAAAGCACUCCUACGGUAUCCGGGAGUUAUACGAUCAUGGUCUAAGGAAAAGAUACUUGACAUUGAAAAAGCUCUAGCAAAAUGAACUACACGAUCUUGUGCUAUGCUUAGGAUUGGGUCUUGUCCAUCACGUCAUUCUCCUAAUGACGUGAUCCCGUUGUCAAUGACAUCUAAUGUCCGUAAUCAGGAAACCAUGACUAUCUAUUGACCAACGAGCUAGUCAACUAGAGGCUUACUAGGGACGUAUUGUGGUCUAUGUAUUCACACGUGUAUUACGAUUUCCAGAUAAUACAAUUAUAGCUUGAAUAAAAGACAAUUAUCAUGAACAAGGAAAUAUAAUAAUAAUCCUUUUCUUAUUGCCUCUAGGGCAUAUUUCCAACAAUAAUUGACCUUGGGGCCCCAGAACGGCCCAAGGUAAGGCACCCUUUAUUUUAUAACACCGUCAGUCGGCUUGGUGUUGUUGUUGUUGUAGAAUAGGGUGCAACGACCUCCUGCGACUCCCUGGCGGUGGCCUUGACCGUCCCCAACACCCUCGCAGGGCUAGGAGCAUUGCGUGAGUUUAGAAUCGCGGCUCUAGAUCCGGGCAUGGCAGACCCUAGGCUGACGGGCCUGGACAUGGCUUUCUCCGACAAGGUGGCAGUCAGUGGUGGUGUAUUCUACCGUUGGUGCUUGGUCCGUGUGGGCCUGUGACCACUCUAGCUUAUGGUGGCACCCUCACCGUGGAUUGUUGAGGCCAUCAAAAGGUCUUCAUGAGGGUUUCUCUCUUCAUAUCCGGUGAGUGUUGUUGACGGCUCGUACUAGUGACAUUCUAAUAACCCACAAGUAUAGGGGAUUGUUUGUAGUCUUUUUUAUAAGAGUGUCAAACCCAACAAGGAGCUAAAGGUAAAAUUAGUAUUCUCUUAAGUUCUAUCAACCACUGAUACAACUCUAUGCGUGCCAACAUUUGCUUUACCAAAAACAAGAAAUAAAACUAGUUUGCGAGAAUGAAACUAGAAAUACUUUGCAAGAUAAUAAAAGUUAAUUGUUUUGGUAGAGAGCUUUUGGAGAACAGUUAGAAGGGUUGUCCAUAGGCAAUUGAAUAUCACAAGUGUGAUAAUUAUCAUAUGCAUGAGGGAGAGACGUAAGCUAACACACUUUUCGUACUUGCAUCACAUGCACUUAUGACUGAAACUCUGGCAAGCAUCCGCAACUAAUAAAAAACAUUGAAGUAAAACCCGAUCACAACAUUAAGUGUAAAGUCACCUUUAAUCCCAUACGCAACAACCCACUUACUCGGCUUUAAGUUUAUGUCACUAUCGCAACCCACUAUAAGCGAAUCAUGAACAUAUUGCAACACCCUACAUCGGGAAUUCUGAGAUGUGUGUGUGGCAUGGAGAGCACCAUAGGACAACACCGUAUUAACAUACAACUCAUAUCAAUCACACCAUACCACAAUUAACUCGUAGGACAAAAGGGAUCUACUCAAACAUCAUAGAGGUGCAACACAUCAUUGGAUAAAUAUGUAUAGCAUAAAGCACCAUGUUCAAGUAGAGGUUACAGCGUAAAAAGAGAUGUUACACCAUUGCAUAAAGCGGGAGAGAGUUGUUGUUGACGGUGGCGAAGUUGUUGAUGUAGAUCACCGUCAAGAUGGUUCCCCCGACAGCGCUCGGGUGCCACCGAGAGAGAGGGGGAGAGAGCCUCCUUCCUCCUUAUUGAUUGGCCUCCCCCUAGAUGGGAGAAGGAUUUCAUUCUCUCGUCCCCGGGCUCCCCGGCCCCUGAGCGAUGGGAGCCCCUCUAGAUUGGACCCCUCUCUCUGUCUUCUCUGAUUCACGUAUCUAUUUUCUGGCCGAACACCGUUUAUUAAAUAUUCGAAUAUCAGUAACUUCGAUCGGGCUGAAAUUUUAACACGGUUUUUUUUCGUAUUAGUUUCCUUGAGCCCAUAGGACAUCUCAAACCGACCUUCAAGGGAGCCACAAGUUCUCCUGGAGCGCCCUAGGGGAGGCACCCCCUGAUCUUGUGAAGCCCAUGGGCCCACAUGGCACUUAUUCUUGCGCCAGAAAAUCACAUAUAUUCCACAAGAAAUCUUCAUAAAAUUUUAUCGCGUUUGAACUUCAUUUGAUAUAGAUUUUCCAUGAAACAAAAAAUAUGCAACAAAUAGAAACUGGCACUGUGCAUUAGAUUAAUAUGUUAGUCCAAGAAAAUCAUAUAAAUUGCUGCCAAAGGUAUGUGGAAGUGGUACGAUAUUGACAUGAAACAAUCAAAAAAUAUAGAUAUGACGGAGACAUGUCACAUUGCAUGAUGCAGUUGAAAGACUUCUUAGUUUGUCUGGGCAGCUCUCAUUCCAGACAAUUUGCCUUCUUGCCUUCGGCCAUGAGAUGCAAUCUAUGGAUGACGGCUUGAUGCAGAGGGUAUGGUUGUGUAUUGGCGGUUGUGAGAUUUCUAGCCAAACGCGAGUAGCUGUUGUGAUCAUGAAAAAAUGAUGGCAACAAGACAACACAUUAUUGAAUCUGAUUUGGUGGUGCUCCUUGAGUACCCGGUCUCGGGCUCUGAGGUGAAAACCAUAGGUCUGAUCCGAGUUGGUUAUACGUGGCAGUGCCAAUGUUUUUGCGUCGUUACCUUGUUGAAGGCAUUGCUUGAAUACACUCUAACUUUUUUGUAACACAUCAGAUGUGAAAUUUUUUCAGACUUAGCGUGUUGCUGCUAAAAUUUUAAUAGAGGUGCAUCUGAUAGAUCAUACCUGCCCCUUUUGAAUAGGUUCAUCACAUACACGUAUGGCUAUACGGAUGGGGGUGAAACAUUAUCGGUAUCGUCACAUAAACAACUAAUGAAAAAGCAAUAUAUGGUAAAUAGGUCUCACUUGAGACAAGAUACAAAAUACAUCAAAGUCACAUUACAGUACAUCAUUACAUUUGCGGAAACAUGGAGAGUCUGAGUACAUGCAACAACUCGAAUGCCUAGAGAGGUUAGAACGUAAAAGAAAAUCGGUCCUCAUUCCUAGGUCUUGGUCUGCUCCUCAGGAUCUCCUAUCUACUCGUCGUCGUAGUAAUCCACGUAGUAUGCACCGAAAGUGUCACCACAGCAGUAAUCCUCUGCAUUUUUUGGUUAUAGCAAGGGUGAAUACAUGACAUACACCAAAAGGCUUGCACAUAUUUAUACUAUUGAUGCAACAUGCUUCAAAGGAAAAGGAUAUCGGUUAAGCGGUGCAAGCACCUAUGCAUUCUACGGAGACACGCAACAACUUGCAUUCGUAGAGAAGAAGAGGGAGCACAUAAACAACAAAGGAAACGUGGAUUGUCUACUCUGUGCACCUACCUACGCAAAAAUAACAUUACCUUGUCUUCCCCUUGCAUCCCCCACGAGGAAGAACCCACAAGGCACUAUAGGGUUAAACAAGUUUUAAUUAUUAAGAUCAAAGUUGUACUAUGAUUAAGCAAGUUUUAAUUAAUAAGGUCAAAGUUGUACUAUGAUCAAGUUUUUCUGACCGAGCAGUGACCAGGCCGUCUACCCGGUUAGUUUGGGGAGCACAACUAUGGCAGCCCAUGUGGUGGCGAUAAUUCAAAACAGUGCGCAAGCUCAUUUCCACCUGGUGAAUAGGAAAUUCGAAAAUAAGUAAUUAAACAAAAUUUUAAAAACUUGAAAAUUUUAGGCAUUGAGGAUGCUUCAUGUGUGCAAGGAGCGUGCAAAUUUUUAUCGCGUUUGAACAUCUGAGGAGUGCGUAACAAAAAAAUUGACUCCGAACAGUGUUCCUUUUCAUAGAUUCUCAUACACCGACCUCCUCAAAUGUCCAAAUACCACACAAUUUUGCAAGUACCUGGCACACACGAGCUUCCUCAAUGCCUAAAAUUUUCAUUGUUUAUGACUUCUUUUUACUAUGUUUGAAUUUAUUGUUCACCACCUGGUGUAGAUGAUCCUGGGUGCAGAAUUGCCACUCUCAUGCGGUGGAUCCCAUAUGCCAACAAAUAGUAGUGCCUUCGUUGAGAGCAAGCCUACCGACUCUUCUAGUUGGGCCGACCCAUUUUUAGGCUUCACUAUUUCUUCACUGGGGAUCUAGGCAUGGGAACCGAUUAGAGAGUUUCUUAUCGGUUUUGGAAACAUUCUAGGAGGUCUCUGAACUUGUUUUUUGUUUGUUGUUUUUCUAUUGGGUUUAUUUGCCUUUUUCCUUUAUCUUUCUUCUAUUUUUGUGUAUUAUAAAAAAUCACAGUGUAUUACAAAAAAUGUUCAUCAUAUAUUCGAGAUGUUCACCAUAUAUUAUAGAAAAGUCAUCUUGCAUUAUAAUAAUGUUCAUCUUAUAUUAAGAAUUUUUUUGAAGGAAAUAUGCCCUAGAAGCAAUAAUAAUGUUGUUAUUUUAUAUUUCCUUAUUUCAUGAUAAAUGUUUAUUAUUCAUGCUAGAAUUGUAUUAACCGGAAACUUGAUACAUGUGUGAAUACAUAGACAAAACACUAUGUCCCUAAUAAGCCUCUACUAGAGUAGCUCGUUAAUCAAAGAUGCUUAAGUUUCCUAACCAUAGACAUCUGUUGUCAUUUUAUGAACGGGAUCACAUCAUUAGGAGAAUGAUAUGAUGGACAAUACCCAUCCGUUAGCUUAGCAUAAUGAUCGUUUACUUUUAUUGCUAUUGCUUUCUUCAUGUCAAAUAGACAUUCCUCCGACUAUGAGAUUAUGCAACUCCCGGAUACCGGAGGAAUGUCUUGUGUCCUAUCAAACGUCACAACGUUACUAGGUGAUUAUAAAGAUGCUCUAUAGGUAUCUUCGAAGGUGUUUGUUGGGUUGGCAUAGAUCGAGAUUAGGAUUUCUCACUACGAGUAUCGGAGAGGUAUCUCUGGGGCCUCUCGGUAAUGCACAUCAUAAGAAGCCUUGCAAGCAAAGAGACUAAUGAUUUAGUUACAGGAUGAUGCAUUAUGGAAUCUGUAAAGAGAAUAUCCUGUAAUGAGAUUGAACUAAGUAUGAAGAUACCGACGAUCGAAUCUCGGGCAAGUAACAUACCGAUGACAAAGGUAAUAACGUAUGUUAUCAUAACAGUUCGACUGAUAAAGAUCUUCAUAGAAUAUGUGGGAACCAAUAUGAGCAUCCAGGUUCCGCUAUUGGUUAUUGACCGGAGAGGUGUCUCGGUCAUGUCUACAUAGUUCUCGAACCCGUAGGGUCUGCACGCUUAACGUUCGAUGACGAUUUCAUAUUAUAUCAGUUAUGUGAUUUGGUGAUCGAAUGUUAUUCGGAGUUUCGGAUGAGAUCACGUACAUGACGAGGAGUCUCGAAAUGGUCAAGAGGUAAAUAUUGAUAUAUAGGAUGAUAGUAUUCAGACACCGGAAGUGUUCCGGGAUGUAUCAGGUACAUAUCGGACUACCGAGGGGGUUACCGGAACCCCCCGGGGGAAUAAUGGGCCAUAUGGGCCAUAGGAGGGGAGCACACCAGCCUAGAAGGGGUGCCCCCCUUAUGUUAGGAGGCCAAAUAGGAGAAGGGGUGAGGGUUCGGCCCCCCUUUCCUUCCUCCUUCCCUCUUCCCUCUUUUCCCCCUUCCGAUAAAAGGAAAGGGGACACGAAUUGGACUAGGGAGCCCAAGUAGGAUUCCUCCUACUUGGGCGCCCCAAGGCUACCUAUAUCUCCCUCUCACCUAUAUAUACAUGGAGAGGGGGCGCCUAGAACACACACCAAUGAUUGUUAGCCGUGUGCGGCGCCCUCUCCAUAGUUUACGCCUCCGGUCAUAUUCACGUAGUGCUUAGGCGAAGCCCUGCGCGGAUAACUUCACCAUCACCGUCACCAUGUCGUCGUGCUGACGGAACUCUUCUACUUCCUCGACAUUCUGUUGGAUCAAGAGUUCGAGGGACGUCAUCAAGCUGAACAUGUGCAAAACUCGGAGGUGUCGUACGUUCGGUACUUGUCGUGGAAUUGUCACGGUAGAUGUCCUAGUGUGAGGACUUAGUCAUGAGGCCAACACAUCUAUGUGGUAGCUUAAGAGGGGUUGAGCGGAAUCAAGAGACGCAGCAGAAGACAAGGAUUUAGAGAGCUUCGGGCCCCAGGAAAUAUCAUCCGGUAACAACCCUACAUGAUGUUUGUGGCUAGGUCUCAUUAUCAUCACGAGAGAGUCACCGGUAAACCGGCUCUUUGUGUCUAGCCCUAGAGAUUGUUUCCUCUUGCCCUGUCCCUCUUUUGGGGAGCCCUGCCCCUCCUUAUAUAUGUUGAAGGGGCAGUUUACAUGACUACUCCUAGUUGGAUUAGGAUUACUCUAUUACAAGUGGAGUCGUAGUCUUGCUUCCUUUGUAGGAAAAUAUUUCUUGUGCUUUCCUUAUAAACCGGCCCACCAUAACAUGAUUCGGCCUUCCAUAAACCGCCUUCUGGGCCACCGGGUCUUGUCGUUCCUCUGACCCACUCGCCGGGUCACCCAUGAGUCACAAUGUCCAGGCGGGCUACAUGUAAACCGCCAUGUCCGGGAGGAUCGCCAGUGAGUCGCCAAGCUCCAUCCGGGUCUCUGGUGAGUCACCAAGUCCAGUCGGGUCAUAAUUCUGGCCGGGUCAUACCGUGGGGUAUAUCCCCGACAGUACUUGAUCGGUCGGAACGAGAAGAAGUUCGACUACAUCAACUGCAUUGGCAAACACUUCCGCUUUCGGUCUACGAGGGUAGGUAGACACACUCUCCCCCUCUCGUUGCUAUGCAUCUCCUAGAUAGAUCUUGCGUGAGCGUAGGAAUAUUUUGAAAUUGCAUGCUACAUUUCCCAACAAUGGCAUCCGAGCCAGGUCUAUGCGUAGAUUAUAUGCACGAGUAGAACACAAAGAGUUGUGGGCGGUGAUUGUCAUACUGCUUACCACCAAUGUCUUAUUUUGAUCCGGCGGUAUUGUUGGAUGAAGCGGCCUGGACCAACCUUACAUGACCACGUUCAUGAGACCGGUUCCACCGACAGACAUGCAACUAGUUUUAUAUAAAGGUGGCUGGCGGGUGGCUGUUUCUCCAACUUUAGUUAAAUCGAAUUUGACUGCGGCCGAUCGUUGUUGAAGGUUAAAACAACAAACUUUAUAAAUCACCGUUGUGGUUUUGUGUUGUAGGUAAGAACGGUUCUUCCUAGAAGCCCGUAGCAGCCACGUAAAACUUGUAACAAUAAAGUAGAGGACGUCUAACUUGUUUUUGCAGGGCAUGUUGUGAUGUGAUAUGGUGAAGACAUGAUGUGAUAUACGUUGUUGUAUGAGAUGAUCAUGUUUUGUAAAAGUUAUCGGCAACUAGCAGGAGCCUUAUGGUUGUCGCUUUAUUGUAUGGAAUGCAAAUGCCAUGUAAUUGCUUUACUUUAUCACUAACCGGUAGUGAUAGUUGUAGAAGUAACAGUUGGCAAGACGACCAUGAAGCUAUGAUGGAGAUAAAGGUGUCGACCCGGUGACGAUGGAGAACAUGACGAUGCUUUGGAGAUGGAGAUCAAAAGCAAAAGAUGAUGAUGGCCAUAUCAUGUCACAUAUUUUGAUUGCAUGUGAUGUUUAUCUUUAUGCAUCUUAUUUUUCUUAGUUAGGCGGUAGCAUUAUAAGAUGAUCCCUUAACUAAAUUUCAAGGUAUAAGUGUUCUCCCCGAGUAUGCACCGUUGCGACAGUUCUUCGUGUUGAGACACCACGUGAUGAUCAGGUGUGAUAGGCUCUACGUUCACAUACAACGGGUGCAAGACAGUUUUGCACAUGCGGAAUAUUCGCGAACUUGACGAGCCUAGCAUGUACAGACAUGGCAUCAGAACACUGGAGACCGAAAGGUCGAACGUGAAACAUAUAUUAGAUAUGAUCAACAUAGAGAUGUUCAACAUUGAUGACUACUCCAUCUCACGUGAUGAUCGGACAUGGUUUAGUUGAUUUGGAUCACGUAUCAUUUAGAUGACUUUUGGGAUGUCUAUCUAAGUGGGAGUUCUUAAGUAAUAUUAUUAAUUGAACUUUAAUUUAUCAUGAACUUAGUCCAGAUAGUAUUUACUGACCGGCUCUGCUUCCACCCACUUUGUGAACUUAUCCAGUGCCACCAGAAGGUGAGUCUUUUUGUCCUUGGUCCUCUUGAAAGGCCCAACCAUGUCAAGCCCCCACACAGCAAACAACCAAGUAAUUGGUAUCAUCCUCAAUUCUUGAGCCGACACAUGAGCUCGCCAAGAAAAUUUCUGACACCCGUCACAUUUACUGGUCAGAUCUUCUGCAUCAGCAUGAGUUGUUAGCCAAUAAAAUCCGUGAAGGAAAGCUUUGGCCAUAAGAGACUUUGAACCAGCGUGAUGCCCACAAUCUCCUUCAUGAAUCUCAUGAAGAAUCUAUUGUCCUUCUUUAGGAGAUACACACCGUUGAAACGCUCCAGUGACACUGCGAUGAUGUAACUCGCCAUUGGUAAUCGUCAUUGACAUAGACCGCCGGGUUAUCUGCCUAGCCAAGGUUUCAUCCUCAGGCAAUUCUCCUCAGGUCAUAUAAGCCAAGUAUGGCAUUGUCCAAUCUGGAAUGACGUGAAGAGCCGCCACCAACUGUGCCUCUGGGUCAGGCAAAACCAAGUCUUCCUCUGUAGGUAACUUGACAGAAGGAUUAUGCAAAACAUCCAAAAAGGUAUUCGGGGGUAUCGGUUUACAUUGAGAUCCAAGCCGGCUUAGAGCAUCAGCCGCCUCAUUCUUCCUGCGAUCUAUGUGUUCCACUUGAUAACCAUUGAAGUGUCCAGCCACAGCAUCAACUUCACGGUGAUAAGCCGCCAUGAGAGGAUCUUUGGAAUCCCACUUGCCUGAGACCUGUUGAGCUACCAAAUCUGAGUCGCCAAAGCACCUUACCCGGCUUAAAUUCAUCUCUUUAGCCAUCCGAAGGCCAUGGAGCAGGGCCUCAUACUCAGCUGCAUUGUUAGUAUAGGGAAACAUCAACCUUAGCACAUAACAAAAUUUGUCACCUCGAGGGGAAGCCAAAACAACCCCAGCCCCCGAGCCUUCCAAUUGCCUGGAUCCAUCGAAAUGAAUUGUCCAGUAUGCGUUAUCCGGCUUCUCUUCAAGCGCCUAUAACUCUAUCCAAUCAUUGAUGAAAUCCACUAGUGCUUGAGAUUUGAUAGUAGUACGAGGCACAUAUUUUAAACCGUGAGGUCCAAGCUCAAUGGCCCACUUGGCGACUCAUCCUCUAGCCUCUCUGUUCUGGAUGAUAUCCCCCAAAGGAGCAGAACUGACCACAGUGAUGGGAUGACCCAGGAAAUAUUGAUUAACUUUCCGGCUGGCCAUGAACACCCCAUAAACAAGCUUCUGCCAAUGUGGAUACCUCUGUUUGGACUCAAUAAGCACCUCACUUAUGUAGUAAACUGGCCGUUGAACUGGAUAUUCCUUACCAGACUCCUUACGCUCCAUCACAAUGGCCACACUGACAGCAUGUGCAUUAGCAGCCACAUAUAACAACAAUGGCUCCUUAUCAAUGGGAGCAACAAGGACCGGCGGCUCAACCAAUUGUCUCUUCAAAUCCUCAAAGGCAAUGUUAGCAACAUCACUCCAGACGAAGUCAUCUGUUUUCUUCAACAUUUGAUAGAGUGGUAUGGCCUUCUCACCUAACUGGCUUAAAGCUACAAUACGACCCGCCAAACACUAAACAUCAUUGAUGCACUUGGGUUUUGCCAAAGAGGUGAUAGCCUUAAUCUUCUCCUGGUUAGCCUCAAUGCCUCUGUUAGAAACCAGAAACCCCAAGAGUUUGCCUGCUGGCACACCAAAGACACACUUUGCCGGCUUAAGCAUCAUAUUGUAGACCCGAAGGUUAUCAAAGGUUUCCUUGAGAUCAUCUAUCAGUGUUUCCUUUUCUCUGGAUUUCACCACAAUAUCAUACACAUAAGCAUGCACAUUGCGGCAAUCUGAGUAUGAAGGCAAUUCUGCACGCAACGUUGAUAAGUCACCUGGGCACUCUUGAGCCCAAAAGGCAUAGAAACAUAGAAGAAGGCUCGAAAGGGAGUAAUGAACACUGUUUUCUCCUGGUCCUUAACCGCCAUCUUGAUAUGAUGAUAUCCAGAAUAGGCAUCCAAAAAACUCAAACGCUCACAUCCCGUCGUAGCAUCAAUGAUUUGAUCAAUACGCGGGAGAGCAAAGGGAUCAGCCAGACAAGCCUUGUUCAAAUCCAUGUAAUCCACACACAUACACCAAGUGUUGUUCUUCUUGAGCACUAGCACCGGGUUAGCCAACCAUUCAAUAUGAAAUACCUCAAUGAUGAACCCAGCUGCCAAGAGCCGGGCUACCUCCUCACCAAUGGCCUUGCACCUCUCCUCAUUAAAUCGCCGAAGAAAUUGCUUGACCAGCUUAUACUUGGGAUCAAUAUUGAGAGUGUGCUCAGCGAGUUCUCUCGGUACACCCGACAUGUCAGAAGGUUUCCAUGCGAAGAUGUCCCGAUUCUCACAGAUGAACUCGAUGAGCAUGCUUUUCUAUUUGGGAUCCAGAUUGGCACUGAUGCUGAACUGUUUAGAUGAAUCGCCAGGAACAAAGUCAACCAUCUUGGUGUCCUCAGCUGAUUUAAACUUCAUCUCCGGUUCACACUCUGUGGUGGGCUUCUUUAAAGAUGUCAUAUCUGUCGGGUCAACAUUGUCCUUAUAAUACUUUAACUCUUCUGCAGCACAAACUGACUCAGCAUAAGCCGUGUCGCCUUCCUCGCACUCCAGAGCCACCUUUCGACUACCAUGAACCGUAAUGGUUCCUUUAUGACCCGGCAUCUUCAUCUGCAGAUAAACAUAACACGGCCGUGCCAUAAAUUUGGCGUACGCCGGUCACCCAAAAAGAGCAUGAUACGGGCUCCUGAUCUUGACCACCUCAAAAGUUAAUUUCUCGACCCUGGAGUCAUACUCAUCUACGAAGGCUACUUCUAGAUUGAUCUUGCCCGCUGGGUAUGCCGACUUACCAGGAACUAUGCCGUGAAAAAUAGUAUUGGACUGCUUAAGAUUUUUGUCUGUUAACCCCAUACGAUGAAAGGUCUCAUAAUAAAGGAUAUUGAUGCCGCUUCCUCCAUCCAUCAGUACCUUAGUGAACUUGUACCCCCCAACUUGGGGUGCUACCACCAAAGCCAAGUGACCCGGAUUGUCAACCUGGGGCGGGUGAUCCUCCUGACUCCAUGUAAUGGCCUGCUCAGACCAUCGCAAGUAUCGAGGAACUGCCGGCUCAACGGUGUUCACUGCCCUCUUGUGAAGCUUCUAAUCCCGCUUACAUAAACUUGUGGUGAAAACAUGAUACUGUCCACUGUUCAAUUGCUUUUGAUUACUCUGAUAGCCGGACUGCUGUUGCUGCUGCGGACCCCCUGGCCAGACUAUUGAUUUUAGCCACCUUGACCACCUUGAUUGAAAUUGCCUUGAUUGUUUUGGUGGCCCUGAAAGCCGGAACCAGAAUCGCCACAUCCAUUGUUCGUACCAUGAAAGCCGCCGCCUCCUGAACCGCUGCGCGACCCAUGAUUACCAUUGAACAUGUUGGAAUUUUUGAAGGCCUUCAUGAUAGUGCAAUCCUUCCACAGGUGAGUAGCCGGCUUUUCUUCAGUGUCGUGCUUCGGGCAAGGUUCAUUUAACAACUACUCAAGGGUAGGACCUGACCCGCCCGAUCGAGGAGGUGGCCUCCUGUUACGCUGCUGAUUGUUGCCCUGCGCAUUGGUGUUAGCCACAAACUCUGAGCUACCAUCCGCCUUAUCUUUAUUGUUGCCGCCUUGAUUCGUCGGGCCAGGUUGAGGGCCCUUAACACUGCCGCUCUUCUUUUCCUUCCCUGCCUUCUUGUCGUUAGACUCGGGAUCCUUGGUACUAUCAGAGUCAGCAUAUCUAACAAGAGCUGCCAUCAGUUGGCCCAUGUCAGAACAAUCACGCUUAAGUCGCCCCAGCUUCAUCUUCAGAGGCUCAAAACGGCAAUUUUGCUCUAACAUCAAUACUGCAGAACCGGCAUCCAUCUUAUCAUAGGAAUGUAUUAUCUCCUUAACCCGGCGCACCCAAUGGGUCAUGGACUCACCCUCCUGUUUCCUGCAACUAGUCAAGUCCACAAUUGACAUGGGCUGCUUACAUGUAUCUUUAAAGUUCUAGAUAAACUUCCCCUUUAACUCUGCCCAGGAACUAACAUAAUUAGGUGGCAAUGCCUUCAACCAAUUACGAGCCGUCCCAUCCAGCAUCAUGGUGAAAUACUUGGCCAUUGCAGCAUCAUUAACUUCCAGCAGUUCCAUGGCCAUCUCAUAACUCUCAAUCCACGCCACAGGCUACAAAUCGCUCGUGUAAUUAGGUACCUUACGAGGUCCCUUAAAAUCCUUGGGUAACCGCUCGUUAUGGAGAGCCGGCACCAAACAAGGCACCCACGCGGUCCUGGUGGCCACACCUGCCUCCAUUGACGCCGUCGGAUAAACCGACUGGGGCUGAUAAGCCGCCUGUUGACCUGCUAUUUUUGCUGCCUGUUGAGCCGCCUACUCAAUUUGCUGACGUACUUUGUCCUGAUUAUGCACAUUAGGAGCCCCACCCUGAGCCGGGCCGUACCUGCGCGGCUGAUCGCGGCGCUGGGCAUUGCUUGAAACGGCCGGUGAGUCUAGAUGCCUGCUAUAACUCUUGCUCCAGCUUGGACGUGGGGUUGAAUGAAUCUUGUCUCUACUGUAUGAGUAUGCCUCUUGUUGUGCUAAGGUUGUGUGAAGAAGAUCUUUGAUCCUUCGUGUCUCAAUCGCCGCUGGAGAAUCGCCAUCAGCUGGGAGAGCCGCCAGUCGUGCCGACGCCGCAAUCAUGUUCUCCAGCGGGUUAGAAUAACGACCCAGUGGUGUCGGCACAUAAGGAGGCGGAGCAGUAUUCAGACGUGGGGGUCCCAUAACCUGUGGUUGAAUCGACGUGUUGGUCUCGGGAACUGUGACCUGAUUUACUCCCGAUGGGUUACUGGGUCCCGCUCCGGGUGUCUGGAAAAGGUUCCUAGGAUCAUAAACUGGAGGCAGACGAGAUUGUGCCUUCUGGUACCUUCUCCUCAUAACCUCAUUUGACGCGUUCUGCUCCAUCAUGAGCUAAAAAGCCUGUGACUGAAUCUGCUGUGCUCAGGCAUCUAGAGCCGCCUGCUCAGCAGUCAUCCUGACAUCUUCUGCCGCCAGGUUUUCCUUAGCUUGAGCUAUAUCAAGCUUCAACUGUGCCACCUCCGCAUCAUGUUGAGCCUGAUCUGCCGGGUUGACCACGGCGGUUAAUAGGGUCAUCAACUUAUCCGUGAGAUCCAUCAACACUUGAGCCGGCGAGCGCACAGGGCCUCCUGCCCCGGCUGCUGCUGUCCCAGAGGUCAUGGCCAUCGCAGUUGAUGAAGUUAACACAGGUUGGGUACCUGCCAUGAAGAUUCCAACUCUGUUUGGCGGCUCAAAGGGGUCUGGAAUACUGCCACCAUUGGAACAACCCCUAAGCCCGCCGUCUUGCAGUUGAUACAACGAAUCCGUCUCACCUGUGGACGACUCACCAUCAGAGUAGAUGGCCGUCUCACCGCCGGAGAUAGAUCCCUCAGAAAAUUCUCCUCUAUGGAUGCAUCCCACGAAGGCACGCGUCACGACGGGUUGAGCCCGGGUGGGUCUCGCACGCUGAGCCAUCUCGAUGAUGUCGGUGCAGAUGUACGGCUCAGGGCUCGGCUCACCGAUCUUGCCGAUGAAGACGUGGAUUCCGUCGAAGGGGACCCGGUACCCGUACUCAAUUGAGCCGGCGUCGGGGGCCCAGCCUGCGUCGUUGAUGUAGAGCUUUCCGCGAUGACUCUUGCUCAUCUGGCCCACAACGUAUCCCUUGAGCCCUUUGAAGCUGCCCUUCAAGAACUCAAAUCCACCGUGCGCUGGCCCCAUGGUGGGCGCCAACUGUCGUGGAAUUGUCACGUCAGAUGUCCUAGUGUAAGGACUUAGUCGUGGAGCCAUCGCAAAUAGGAAUCUUAAAGGGGUUAAACGGGACAAAGGACACGAGGUUUAUACUGGUUCGGCCCCUUGUGGUGAAGGUAAAAGCCUAUGAUCCAGUUUUGGGUGGGAUUGCUUAUGAAUCGAUAACCAAGGAGCGAAUCCGCUUGACCUAGUUCUCUAUCUGAUCUUACUUGCCCUAAAUCGCCGCCGGGUCGUCCCUUUAUAUACAGUGGUCAACGCCCGUUGGCUCACAGAGUCCCAGCCGGUUUAUAAACAACGUCCGGCUUGGUCUCUCUCUAUUCCUUUCUUACAAUACAAGUUACGCAUACAUGGAGGUUUAUCUCUACAGGCCUUAAAUCGCCUCUAGGCCUUGGGCCCUUAAGUGAGUCGUCAUCUUCAAGUGUCUUCGUGGGCUUCAUCGUAGGUGUGACCCGGCCCCUCCUGGGCGGGUCAUGCCUAAUAGUUAUAUACCCAACAAAUUAUGUUGUAGAUCAAUAGCUCGCGUUAUAGAUCCCCUAUUUCUGAUAUGUUUCUAGUGAAAACUAAGUUGAAAGAUGAUAGUAGAAACGAUGCGGACUGGGUCCAUGAUCUGAGGAUUAUCCUUAUUGCUUCAUAGAAUGAAUUAUGCCCUUGAUGCACCGCUAGGUGACAAACCUAUUGCAGGAGCAGAUGCAGAUGUUAUGAACGUUUGGCAAGCUCGAUAUGAUGACUACUUGAUAGUUUAGUGCACCCUGCUUUACGGCUUAGAACUGGGACUUCAAAAACAUUUUGAACGCCACGGAGCAUAUGAGAUGUUCCAAGAGCUGAAAUUGGUAUUUCAGGUUCAUGCCCGUAUCGAGAGGUAUGAGACCUCUGACAAGUACUUCGCCUACAAGAUGGAGGAGAAUAGCUCAACCAGUGAGCAUGUGCUCAGAAUGUCUGAGUAAUACAAUCGCUUGAAUGUCUGAGUAAUACAAUAGCUCAACCAGGAGUUAAUCUUCGAGAUAAGAUAUUGAUUUAUAGAGUUCUCUAGUCACUAUCACCAAGUUACCGAAACUUCGUGAUGAACUAUAAUAUGCAAGGGAUGACAAAAAACGACUCCCGAGCUUUCCGCGAUGCUGAAAUCGGUGAAUGUAGAAAUCAAGAAAGAGCAUCAAGUGUUGAUGGUUAACAAGACCACUAGUUUCAAGAAAAGGCGCAAGGGAAAGAAAGGGAACUUCAAGAAGAAUGGGAAGCAAGUUUUCACUCCCAUGAAGAAGCCCAAAGCUGGACCUGAGCCUAAAACUGAGUGCUCCUACUGCAAAGGAAAUGGUCACUGGAAGCGAAACUACCCCAAAUAUUUGGCAGAUAAGAAGGAUGGCAAACUGAAUAAAAGUAUAUUUGAUACACAUGUUAUUGAUGUGUACCUUACUAGUGCUUGUAGUAGCCCCUGGGUAUUUGAUACCUGUUCGGUUGCUAAGAUUAGUAACUCAAAACAGGAGUUGCAGAAUAAAUAGAGACUAGUUGAGGGUGAAGUGAUGAUGUGUGUUGGAAGUGGUUCCAAGAUUGAUAUGAUCAUCAUGGCACACUCCCUAUACUUUUGGGAUGAGUGUUGAACCUAAAUAAAUGUUAUUUGGUGUUUGCGUUGAGCAUGAACAAGAUAGGAUCAUGUUUAUUACAAUACAAUUAUUCAUUUAAGAUAGAGAAUAAUUGUUAUUCUGUUUACAUGAAUAAAAACCUUCUAUGGUCAUACACCCAAUGUUAAUGGUUUAUUGAAUCUCGAUUGUAGUGAUACACAUAUUCAUAAUAUUGAUGCCAAAAUAUGCAAAGUUGAUAAUGAUAGUGCAACUUAUUUGUGGCACUGCCGUUUAGGUCAUAUUGGUGUAAAGUGCGUGAAGAAACUCCAUGCAGAUGGGCUUUUGGAAUCACUUGAUUAUGAAUCAUUUGAUACUUGCGAACCAUGCCUCAUGGGCAAGAUGACUAAAACUCCAUUCUCCGGAACAAUGGAGCGAGCUAAUAACUUAUUGGAAAUAAUACAUACCGAUGUGCAGUCCGAUAAGUGUUGAGGCUCGCGGUGGGUAUCGUUAUUUUCUGACCUUCACAGAUGAUUUGAGCAGAUACGGAUUUAUCUACUUAAUGAAACACAAGUCUGGAACAUUUGAAAAGUUCAAGAAAUUUCAGAGUGAAGUGGAGAAUCAUCAUAACAAGAAAAUAAAGUUUCUAUGAUCUGAUCGCGGAGGUGAAUAUUUGAGUUACGAGUUUGGCCUUCUUUUAAAACAAUGUGGAAUAGUUUCACAACUCACGCCACCUCGAACACCGCAGCGUAAUGGUGUGUCUGAACGUCGUAAUCGUACUUUAUUAGAUAUGGUGCGAUCUAUGAUGUUUCUUACCGAUUUACCACUAUUGUUUUGGGGUUGUGCAUUAAUGACAGCCGCAUUCACAUUAAAUAGGGCAUCGUCUAAAUCCGUUGAGACAACACCAAUGAACUGCGGUUUGGCCAGAAACCUAAGCUAUCGUUUCUUAAAGUUUGGGGUUGCGACACUGAUAAUCCACAAGUGCAGGGAAUCAUUGUAGAAAUUUCCAAAGGUGGAAGUGAUAAGUAUGAAGUGUCAAACCCAUAAGGAGCUAAAGGUAAGAUCAAUAUUCUCUCAAGUCCUAUCUGCCACUGAUACGACUCUACGUACACCAAAUGUUUGCUUCCAACUAGAAACGAGAAAUAAAACUAUGUUGUGGGUAUGAAGAGGAUAACUUCGUAUGGUAUCGGAGAGCUAAAAUAUAAAAGUAGGUGCUGUUAUCAUAAAGUUAGAAUAUAUUACUUAAGUGUUAUAAAUAGCGAGUGUGGAAUAAUGAUGGGUCGGUGUGCGGAAUUGUCCUAAGCAAUUUUUAACAAGAUCAGUAAUCAUUAUUGCAAUUUCAUAUGAGGGUGAGGCAUAAGAUAACAUACUUUCUCUUCUUGGAUCAUAUGCACUUAUGAUUGGAACUUUAGCAAGCAUCCGCAACUACUAAAUAUUAAUAAGGUAAAACCCAACCAUAGCAUUAAAGUAUUAAGUCCUCUUUAUUCCCAUACGCCAUGACCCACUUAUCCGUGUUUGUGUUUCAGGCACUCACACAACACAGACAAUAAGCAAACCAUCAACAUAUUGCAAACCCUACAACGGGGAUCCCUCAUACUUGCGCGACACGGAGGGCACCAUAGGACAACACCAAUAAUAAAACAUGCAACUCAAACCAAUCUAGAUCAUCAAUCAACCCAAAGACAAAGGAAAUCUACUCAAAACAUCAUAGGAUGGCAACACAUCAUUGGAUCAUAAUAUGUGGCAUAAAGCACCAUGUUCAAGUAGGUGAUUACAACGGGGUGCGGGAGAGUGGACCGCGUAAAAGAGAUGAGUAUGGUGAUGAUGAUGUUGAUGUUGAUGAAGAUGAUCACCGCGGCGAUGAUUCCCCUCCCAAUGGCACUCCAACGUCACCGAGAGAGAGGAGGAGAGGAUCUCCCCCUUGUGUUUCCUCCUCCAUGGCCUCCCCCUGGAUGGGGAGAGGUUCUCACUCUGGUCCUUGGCUUUCAUGGCGAUGAUGGCCCCUCCGAGAUCCUCCCCCAUGGUCUCCGGUGAUGAUGGCCCCCUCCGGCAGGGUGUCGGAGAGGGCCUAGAUUGAUUUCUCGUGGUUCUAGAGUCUUGAGAUGGUGGAACUUCCAAUCUCUCCUCUGUUAUGGGGGUUCUAGGAUUUAUAGGAGGGUUUGGCAUCGGUUUCACGUCAAGGGGGCCCACGGGGAGUCCAAGAGGUAGGAGCACCCUCCCGGGGGGUAGGGUGAGGGAGUCCUGGGUUAUGGGGUCCUCGGAGAGCCGGCCUAUGUGACAUGGGCUGGACUGAUGGGUCGUGAAGAUACAGAACAGAAGGCCUUCUCCCGUGUCCGGAUGGGAUUCUCCUUUGCGUAGACGGCAAGCUUGGUGUUCAGAUGUGUAAUUUCCUUCCUCUGUAAACCGACUUUGUACACCCCUAGUCCCCUCUGGUGCUUAUAUAAAUCGGAGGGUUUAGUCCUUAGAGGCAAUCACAAUCAUACAUGCUAGACAUCUAGGGUUUAGUCAUUACGAUCUCAAGGUAGAUCAACUCUUGUAACCCCUAUACUCAUCAAAGUCAAUCAAGCAGGAAGUAGGGUAUUACCUCCAUUAAGAGGGCCCGAACCUGGGUAAACAUCAUGUCCCCUGUCUCCUGUUACCUUUGAUCCUCAAAUGCACACACUACAAAAAAAUACACUUCCGUGAUGAUACGUGUUCGUUACAGUAGGUCGCGUUUUUGUCAUGCAUGUACAUCAAUGACGAUUUUAUGUCAGAAUCAGGAUAGUCAUACCUGUGCUGUCGUAGAAGUGUUCCAUGACAUUACCAAAAUUAUCAUCACGGAAGUGUCCAUUUCCAUGACGAUAAAUCGCGCGUCACAGAAGUGCUUUCGUCAAGGGUGACCGACACGUGGAAUCCACCAUAACGGAAUGCCGUUAAGCUAUUGCGUCGGGUUUUGGAUCCAAUAACCCGUUAACAGCCCCGACCAAUGGGAAAUUUCCAAGUGUAAAAAUCUUAUUGGCCGGACGAAACACGUGUCAGCUCGUCAAUGGGUCAGAUAGGCGCCUAUGAUAUGUCGACACGUGCCACAGCCCACCAUUGGCCCAUUUAGCUUACAAAGCUGGCCCGUUUGACUUGGUUAAAAGUUAACGGGUUGGCCCAUGAAAAGCCUGUUAACAGUCUCUUCGCAAAUAGCCCAUUUUACGGCCCGUUAACUCACGACCCGUUAGGCUCUGAAGGAAAUCGGCCCAACAACGUCAUGUGGGCCGUCGAAUAUAACACCAGCCCAUUUCACUUUCGGCCCAUGUUUGGCCCACGACGUCUUUCGGCCCAUAUGAGGCCUUCGUAUCUUUCGGCCCUUUACAGGCCCAUGGUGACUCUAGCCCAUAAUGAACAGUAAUUUUCUUUGUACCCGUUAACGGCCCGUGAUUUACAUGGGCCGUUUCUAGCCCAUGUUAGCUUUCGGCCUAUUGAUGGCCCAUACGUUCUUGGGCUCCUUUUCAGCCCUCGAUUACUUCCGGCCCGUUAUUGGCCUGUUCCCCUAACGGGCCAAAUUCGGCCCAUGGCAAGAGUCGGCCCGUUACUGGCCUGUAACCCUAAUGGGCCAAAUUCGGCCCAUGGCAAGAGUCGUCCUGUUUUUGGCAUGUUCCCCUAAUGGGCCAAAUUUGGCCCAUGGCAAGAGUCGGCCCAUUAAUGGCCUGUUACCCUAAUGGGCCAAAUUUGGCCGAUGGCAAGAGUCGGCCCGUUUCUGGCAUGUUAACAUGUUGUGCCGUUUCCAUCCUGUCCUAUAUUCUGGCCCAUUAACGACCCGUUAAGCCUGUGACAGAAUUAAUCCUUUGCUGCCCUACGACCUGUUAACGGCCCGUUACCAUGCUAGGCCAAUACCAAUUACACCCGUUUAUGGCCCAUGUAGACCCAUUUAUCCGACGGCCCGAGGCCGGCCGAUUCUAUGGCCCUGUUGGAGGCCCAUUUAUCGAUGACCCGUAGGAGACCCAUGGAUCCUACGGCCCGUAGGAGACCCAUGAAUCCUACGGCCUGUAUAUGGCCCAUGGUAGUUGCGGCCACUAGCAAACCAGGGAAAAAGAAGACUAGGAAAUAAAUAAGGCCGAAACUAACGCUAGGCUAUUAAGGAGAUUGCACACAUUACAUCCACUCGGCAUCAAAGAUCGCCACCAGUGCAAAUAUAGGGAACACCCUACACUAUACAAAAAUGGCCUGCUAUUUUCUUCAGCCGGUGGCUGCACGUCAAGAAUAAAUUUUGUAUCACACCAAAACAAAUUACAACUAUAUAACAAAAGGAAGGUUGGCAUAAAACUUAACAGUCUAGCAGAUAAAUGCACCACCAGAAGCUCAGUUCAUUUGACCUGACUGUUACGUUUUCAUGUUGUAUUGUCCGAUGGAGCACCAUAACCCUCGCCUUCAUUUCCCCUAGGCUCCUGAACAACAUAGCAAAUGUCUGAUAGUCUGGUUUCAAAACCAUGCAUAUCUUGACGACAUCGAACAAUGUCUCUCCUUGUUUCACAAAGGGUCUCUAUUAGGGAAUGGACUUGUGUCUGGAGCACAGAUACAACAUUGCUUUGAGCUUGCAUAUCUUGAUCAUGAGGCAGUUUGGACGAUAUUGCCUUAACAACCAACCCAGUAUUACGCAGGAACGUGCUUUUGGCACUGUUAGUGGAGAUGUACUGGCCCACUGCAGCAAGAGCUGACAUUGCGGUUAUAGUUGCCUCGCCACCUUCAGAAGGUGGCAGUUCCACCAUUUUUUCCAUAGCUCACAGAAAAGUUGAGGUUUUACAUUAGUAGUACCACAACAGAAGAUAUUAAGGAGGCAGCAAAACCAAACAAAAUAGCUUUGGUGUAUAUACAGAACUUAUUCUGGUGAACCCAUGUAAAACAUUAGUUGUAUUUUAUUGCAAAGUACAUAAUAAAACCAGGUUCCAAACAUAUGACCAUGUACCAUCGCUAAUGUAUUGUCUAUUUCUUCACAUUGUAUUGAGGGCUAAGGAUAAAGAGACGAAGUUUAUAAUACGAUAAGCAUAGUAUGACAUCAUUCAUAUCACAAAACAACUGAGAACAGACAAACAUGCAAUUGUAACAUUGUGUGGGCAAGUCCAGCACGGAACUAGAUUACGGGUCAAGAUCAAAGGAACAUCACUCCUCUCUUUUAAACCUUGUAAGUUGCAAUGAUACGCUAAGACAAUUGUGUAUAAAAUUGAAAAGAGUAAUAGACAUUGGUUGCAAACCAUGCAGUUCAAGGCACAAGUCAGAGUAAGUAGUAGUUAAAAGGCAUGAGGAUUAAGGACUUACAACAACAACUUUGACUGGUGUAGUGAUGCCCUUCUUCUUGCUAGUGUGACAGUCCUUGAAGAUUUCCACAGCAUUUGGUUCAGGUCCUUUUUGGUCCUUGCGGGAUUUCCUCUGCAUUUGAACAAGUCAGUAUAGAUAUGAUAAUAUGGUACAGCAAAAAGAGUGAAACAACAGCUAAUUACAAGAGCCUCGCAGUGUGCAAUAGAGCUACGGGAUCCUGUCGUCUGUUGGAAUUUCACUUUCGUACGGUUGGCCUUGUUCUUUGAACAGUUCACCUACAAGAAGAUAGAUUUGUGUGGCACAUGCGUAAAUAGGACUUCAACAUGUGAUCUGAUCACAUAUAUAUAAUGUACCUGAUACUUCAAAUCAGACCAGUGUUUAACAAGGCCCCUCCAGUCUUCAUCCGAUAUAUUUUCCACUGGAGAUGUUUGGGAAAGUUCACUGUUAGCCUUGCCUUCAAAGUGAGGUUUCCUCAAGUUAUACCGAUACUGUCGCAGAGCAGACUUGAAAACAUGGGUGAAAGCUUGUCUAGUUGCAUCAUCUUGGCUAUCCAACUUGAACCUCAUCUAUUGCAAAUUAUGGGAGUCUCAUUAUCAGCAACCUAGAAAGUAUGGGACAGAGCAAGACGAUAUUACUAGUUUCCAUACAUAACCAUACUUACAGAUAAAUGGUCGAGGAAGGUGUUGAACGGGGUUUCGUCUUUGUCAUUCCUGUACUAAAUCCAUGUUGGGAGGAUACGUACAUGACACCUAACGGCAACCGCUACCUCUGAUACUAACUUGGCUGACUCUGUAGCAUCAUGUGGCCUUUUUAAACCUGCCUCAAAACGGAUCUCCAUUCUUCCUCCUCUAGAUUUAGUUAACCUAUCGAGCAAUAUCCCUGAUGUUUGUUUCCUCUUGUGCCUAGGUGCUAGUCCAACAACGAACAUACGAAGUGUUAGUGUACAUCAAACUGUGAGACUACAUAUAAAGAAGCAUGCAACUGUAACUUGACUCCAGCAACUACCUUCUUGAUGUUGAAGCUCACAAGGUUCAUUUGAUAUUGCCAACUCGUCUUGUGUCAAGAGUGCUUGGGAAGUAGUGUCAGGUGGCAAGGGAGCUUGGGAAUGUGCUGCUAGCUCAGUUGACGCAUGAGUAAGUCGUGCAGCUGGUAGUACUGUGGUAGGUGUUGCAAGAACUAGGGUUGUCUCUGCUUGUUUGCUGGCAGCUAUUUGUUUCUGUUUGGCUUUUUUUGCAGCUCGUGUAGCAUGGGAUGGCGUGUUUGUAGAAUUUUCUGCUGGACUUUGACCUUCUAUUGCACCAUCAGUACCAGCAGAAUCUGCAGGAUUCAUCUGCUUCUCAUUCCCUGCCAUUCUGUGUUUCUUCCUCUUUCUCUGUGCCAUGUUAAGUCAAGCCGACAAGAAAAAUGAAUAACAAUUUAGUUCUUCAGAACAAAUUGAUGCGUGAUGCAGACGAACUGAACUUUGAUGUUAGACAACCACAUGAUAGGAGGAUGUAAUAUGUAUGAAAAAUAGGACGGAAGAGAUAACCAGAACUAUGAUGUGUAAACUAAGAAGAAGACAUUUCACCAAAUUAUAAGCAAUGCAAUGGAAGGUAGACACCAUAUGAAAGAUGCUACGAAUAUUGCUGUGCCAAGUUAAUAGUGUCUCAUCAUAAAUGGCGUUUAACCAAAUGUGAAGCAGUACAAGAAAUAAAUCAUAUGCAAGAUGCAAACAACAUCACACUACCAUGUUAGAGGUCUCUCGUCAUUAGUGCCAUUGCAUAUUCACAACAUUGCAUAUUCACAGCUUAUGAUGUGUAAACUAAGGAGAAGGCAUUUCAACAAAUUAGAAGCAAUGAAAGCUAGACACCAUAUGAAAGAUGCAACGAAUAUCACUCAACCAAGUUAAAAUUGUCUCGUCAUAAGUGCCAUUUCAACAAACUAGUAGUACAAGCUAGAAAAGAAUGUGGGGUGUAACCUAUAUCACACUCCGAAGUCAAACGUGUCUUAUGAUAAGUGAUUGUUGCAGGUUACACAACAGUAGUAAUUUGAUGUAAGAACAUGGUGUGAUAGACAGAUAUUGUAUGUUCUAGAAACAGGAACACGUGUCUUAUUCAAGUAUAAUGUGUAAAGUAAGCAGAUGGAAUUCAACAAAAUUAGAAACAAUACAAGCUAGACAUCACACAUAACAUGCAACCACAUAUAAUAGUGCCAAGUUAGAGGGAGCACCAGUGAUGCUGCACUAGGGGAGACGUGCUCAUCAUAAACACAGCUUUGUUGAGUGUAUAUGCAUGUGUUGUCUUGGAAAUCAUCUUGGGGGUGUGGAGGAGUAGAAAUUGUAGAGGCCCUCCGUUCGAAAGGAACACCUUUAUCCGCUGCCUUGCUAACUUCCUUCCGCUUUAUUGAUUUUGAAUUGUCAAGUAAAACCAACAAGAAAAAGCAAUAAAAUUCUCCCUUCAGAACUCAUUCAUGCAUGAUACUGACAAUCACUAGUUUGAUGUAAGGCAAACACAUGAUACCAGGAUGGAAUAUGUACGAAAAAUAUGACGGCAUGGCAUGUUCACAACUGUUUGUGUAAACUAAGCAGAAACCAUUCCAGCAAAUAAGAAGCAAUGCAAGCUAGACACCACAUGAAAGAUGCAACCAAUAUGACUCUGCCAAGUUAAAAGCGUCCCAUCAUAAAUGGAAUUUCAACAAAUUAGAAGCAGCACAUGCUAUAAAUCAUAUGAAAGAUGCAACUAAUAUCGCACUGCAUAUACUAAAGGUGCCUCGUAAUAUUGAUUGAUGCGGGAUACAAAAAAACAA